rnacentral:lncRNA from 1 species
UCUGACCUAGAACAGCCACCUUGUUUUACGGCUGAGGACAGGAGGGCUGAGAAGGAAAGCCCUGUCCCUGCAGGGGCUAAUGAAUGAGAGGAGGGAGAAUGAGCUACCCCCGGGAAGAAUCAAAUUCCGGAGGCAGGUGACCUCUGGGGCAGGCUGCAAGGACGCGGGCCUAGGGAAUGGCUGCCUUCUUCUCUGGGUUUUUCUUUAAACCGCACUGCUCAGCCCAGCCAUUUCCAGGAGGCCUCGCCAUGGGC